UACAGAGGGGGGCAAGCGUUGUUCGGAAUUACUGGGCGUAAAGGCGCGUAGGCGCCUGCUAAGUCGAACGUGAAAUCCCUGGGCUCAACCCAGGAACUGCGUCCCGAUACUGGUUGGCUUGAAUCCGAGAGAGGUAUGUGGAACUCCGAGUGUAGAGGUGAAAUUCGUAGAUAUUCGGAAGAACACCAGUGGCGAAGGCGACAUACUGGCUCAUUACUGACGCUGAGGCUCGAAAGCGUGGGGAGCAAACAGG
rnacentral:rRNA from 1 species